GGGGUGCCCCGCGACGGGGAGCCCUAGCACAGGUGCUGCAUGGCCGUCGUCAGCUCGUGCCGUGAGGUGUUGGGUUAAGUCCCGCAACGAGCGCAACCCCCGCCGUCAGUUGCCAGCGGUUCGGCCGGGCACUCUAACGGGACUGCCCGCGAAAGCGGGAGGAAGGAGGGGACGACGUCUGGUCAGCAUGGCCCUUACGGCCUGGGCGACACACGUGCUACAAUGCCCACUACAAAGCGAUGCCACCCGGCAACGGGGAGCUAAUCGCAAAAAGGUGGGCCCAGUUCGGAUUGGGGUCUGCAACCCGACCCCAUGAAGCCGGAAUCGCUAGUAAUCGCGGAUCAGCACGCCGCGGUGAAUACGUUCCCGGGCCUU
rnacentral:rRNA from 1 species